GCUCGAGUGGCGAACGGGUGAGUAACACGUGAGUAACCUGCCCUUGACUUUGGGAUAACUUCAGGAAACUGGGGCUAAUACCGGAUAGGAGCUCCUGCUGCAUGGUGGGGGUUGGAAAGUUUCGGCGGUUGGGGAUGGACUCGCGGCUUAUCAGCUUGUUGGUGGGGUGGUGGCUUACCAAGGCUUUGACGGGUAGCCGGCCUGAGAGGGUGACCGGCCACAUUGGGACUGAGAUACGGCCCAG
rnacentral:rRNA from 1 species